rnacentral:rRNA from 1 species
GACGAACGCUGGCGGCGUGCUUAACACAUGCAAGUCGAACGGAAAGGCCCUGCUUUUGUGGGUGGCUCGAGUGGCGAACGGGUGAGUAACACGUGAGUAACCUGCCCUUGACUUGGGGAUAACUUCAGGAAACUGGGGCUAUUACCGGAUAGGAGCUCCUGCUGCAUGUUGGGGGUUGGAAAGUUUCGGCGGUUGGGGAUGGACUCGCGGCUUAUCAGCUUGUUGGUGGGGUAGUGGCUUACCAAGGCUUUGACGGGUAGCCGGCCUGAGAGGGUGACCGGCCACAUUGGGACUGAGAUACGGCCCAGACUCCUACGGGAGGCAGCAGUGGGGAAUAUUGCACAAUGGGCGGAAGCCUGAUGCAGCAACGCCGCGUGCGGGAUGACGGCCUUCGGGUUGUAAACCGCUUUCGCCUGUGACGAAGCGUGAGUGACGGUAAUGGGUAAAGAAGCACCGGCUAACUACGUG